rnacentral:rRNA from 1 species
UACAGAGGGUGCAAGCGUUGUUCGGAAUUAUUGGGCGUAAAGGGCGCGUAGGCGGUGCGGUAAGUCCGCAGUGAAAUCUCUGGGCUCAACUCAGAGUCUGCUGUGGAAACUGCCGUGCUCGAGUGUGGGAGAGGUGAGUGGAAUUCCCGGUGUAGCGGUGAAAUGCGUAGAUAUCGGGAGGAACGCCUGUGGCGAAAGCGGCUCACUGGACCACAACUGACGCUGAGGCGCGAAAGCUAGGGGAGCAAACAGG